rnacentral:lncRNA from 1 species
UGGUUGUAUGCAAAGAACAAAAAUAAACAUGCAAUGCAAUUGAUUCAAUUGGUUUUUGAGAACUAUGGAUGAAUGGUGUUGUUGGGGUUUACAAUUUCAUCUUAUCCACUCUCAUAUAUCUACUCUUCUAUUUUACUUCACUUAUUUAUCCAAUUGACAUGCAUACUUUCUCAAUUACCCUUAACCCAAUUCCUUGGUGAAAAGAGCCUAUUACCAAUUACCGACUUGCUAUCCCUAGCCUCCCCUACUCGGUGGACAGUUUCCGCACGCUGACGAGUAUGUUCAAAAAGCAAUACUCCACCAACC